GACGAACGCUGGCGGCGUGCCUAAUACAUGCAAGUCGUGCGGACCUUGUUGAAAGCUUGCUUUUAAAAGGUUAGCGGCGGACGGGUGAGUAACACGUGGGCAACCUGCCUGUAAGACUGGGAUAACGCCGGGAAACCAGGGCUAAUACCAGAUCGUUUUUUCCUCCGCAUGGAGGAAAAAGGAAAGGCGGCUUCGGCUGCCACUUACAGAUGGGCCCGCGGCGCAUUAGCUAGUUGGCGGGGUAAUGGCCCACCAAGGCAACGAUGCGUAGCCGACCUGAGAGGGUGAUCGGCCACAUUGGGACUGAGACACGGCCCAAACUCCUACGGGAGGCAGCAGUAGGGAAUCUUCCGCAAUGGACGAAAGUCUGACGGAGCAACGCCGCGUGAGUGAAGAAGGCCUUCGGGUCGUAAAACUCUGUUGCCGGGGAAGAACAAGUGCCGUUCGAACAGGGCGGCGCCUUGACGGUACCCGGCCAGAAAGCCACGGCUAACUACGUG
rnacentral:rRNA from 1 species